AGCCCUUAAAAACUGAGACCUCCAUUCGAUUUUUGCCUUAAAUCACAUAUAUGCUUGAGCCACCCUGAUAAAAGAUUGUUAAAAAUGUCAAUAGCAAGGGAAGUUUGGAAUUUUCUUUGGUGUUGGUUUUAUUAGUAAGCUAUAUUUAUUUCCGAAUUUGAUUGAAAUUUGCAUCUGAAAGUUCCAUGCAGGCUGAGACCAAGGUACCAACUCCCGAUCCAACCAAUCGUAGAAAGUAGCACAAGAAAUGUAUUAUUGGAGAGAUCUUUUGGUAGAUCAAAAACGUUAAGUAAGAUUGAAAAAUUCAACUAAGAAGAGGAAGCUAUCAGAAAAUUCAACUAAGAAGAGGAAGCUAUCAGAAAAUUCAACUAAGAAGAGAAAGCUAUGAAAAGAGAAGUGGGAACUUUUAUAUGGAGAACACUAUUUGAAUUGAUUUU
rnacentral:lncRNA from 1 species